UGCACAGGUACGUGUACCGGAUAUUUAUAAUAUCACCGAUAAUCGGUACGUACAAAAAUUGCAUUGUACGGAUGACACGAGAAAUAACUUUUGUUCUGUUCAAUAUUUCGUAAGUGGUUUUUUUUUUCGUUCACAAUUAACUACCAGUGCCUUGCGCUACGUGAUUCCGUUAUUAUAUGUGUGCAUUAAAAAUCAAAUUAUUUUAGAAACCAUUUGUCUUA